rnacentral:rRNA from 1 species
UCGAGGGGCAGCAUAAUGGAUAGCAAUAUCUAUGGUGGCGACCGGCGCACGGGUGCGUAACGCGUAUGCAACCUACCUUUAACAGGGGGAUAAUCCGAAGAAAUUUGGUCUAAUACCCCAUAAUAUUGAAUAAGGCAUCUUAGUCAGUUGAAAGUUCCGACGGUUAAAGAUGGGCAUGCGUUGUAUUAGCUAGUUGGUGAGGUAACGGCUCACCAAGGCUACGAUACAUAGGGGGACUGAGAGGUUUUCCCCCACACUGGUACUGAGACACGGACCAGACUCC